GAUUAGGACUUUUCUGUCUUUGAGGAACUUUUACUAGGCAUAUUUGUGAUACCAUAAAGACCUCUGUGACACAGUGCACCACCAGAGCCUCCUCUACACCCUCCAAGAACUGGGAGUCUCAGGCUCUGCUCUCUUCCUGCUCGAAUUCUACCUAAAGGACCACACCUACAGGAUCUGAAACCCAGGUGGAGGCACGGAUAUCGGCUUGUCUGGCUGUUAUCUCUCAGUGGAUGGCUGCACAUCACUUGAAACUCGGGAGGCUUUGUGAGGUAUGGUGAUAUCACAGGCACAGCUGACAGGUCGCUCUCCUGUCCACUGCUCUCCAGGCCGCG